AAAAAGUUAGUUAAAUUCAUAACCUAAACUUGUCAAGUUUAAAUUAUUAUCUAAAUAAUACUUUUUU
rnacentral:tRNA from 1 species